rnacentral:rRNA from 1 species
UACGUAGGGUGCAAGCGUUAAUCGGAAUUACUGGGCGUAAAGCGUGCGCAGGCGGUUCGUUGUGUCGGCGGUGAAAGCCCCGGGCUUAACCUGGGAAUGGCCGUUGAAACUGGCGAACUGGAGUGUGGCAGAGGGGGGUGGAAUUCCGCGUGUAGCAGUGAAAUGCGUAGAUAUGUGGAGGAACACCGAUGGCGAAGGCAGCCCCCUGGGUCAAGACUGACGCUCGAUGCACGAAGGCGUGGGGAGCAACAGGAUU